GAUGAACGCUGGCGGCGUGCCUAAUACAUGCAAGUCGAGCGAACAGUCGAGGAGCUUGCUCCUCUGACGUUAGCGGCGGACGGGUGAGUAACACGUGGAUAACCUACCUAUAAGACUGGGAUAACUUCGGGAAACCGGAGCUAAUACCGGAUAAUAUAUUGAACCGCAUGGUUCAAUAGUGAAAGACGGUUUUGCUGUCACUUAUAGAUGGAUCCGCGCCGCAUUAGCUAGUUGGUAAGGUAACGGCUUACCAAGGCAACGAUGCGUGGCCGACCUGAGAGGGUGAUCGGCCACACUGGAACUGAGACACGGUCCAGACUCCUACGGGAGGCAGCAGUAGGGAAUCUUCCGCAAUGGGCGAAAGCCUGACGGAGCAACGCCGCGUGAGUGAUGAAGGUCUUCGGAUCGUAAAACUCUGUUAUUAGGGAAGAACAAAUGUGUAAGUAACUAUGCACGUCUUGACGGUACCUAAUCAGAAAGCCACGGCUAACUACGUG
rnacentral:rRNA from 1 species